rnacentral:rRNA from 1 species
GACAGAGGGUGCAAACGUUGUUCGGAAUUACUGGGCGUAAAGCGUGUGUAGGCGGCCAUAUAAGUCGGAUGUGAAAGCCCUGGGCUCAACCCAGGAAGUGCACUCGAUACUGUAUGGCUUGAGUACUGGAGAGGUUGGUGGAAUUCUCGGUGUAGAGGUGAAAUUCGUAGAUAUCGGGAGGAACACCGGUGGCGAAGGCGGCCUUCUGGACGGAUACUGACGCUGAGACGCGAAAGCGUGGGGAGCAAACAGG